UGGGGAAUAUUGGACAAUGGGCGAAAGCCUGAUCCAGCCAUGCCGCGUGUGUGAAGAAGGUCUUCGGAUUGUAAAGCACUUUAAGUUGGGCGGAAGGGCAGUAAGCGAAUACCUUGCUGUUUUGACGUUACCGACAGAAUAAGCACCGGCUAACUCUGUGCCAGCAGCCGCGGUAAUACAGAGGGUGCAAGCGUUAAUCGGAAUUACUGGGCGUAAAGCGCGCGUAGGUGGUUCGUUAAGUUGAAUGUGAAAGCCCCGGGCUCAGCCUGGGAACUGCAUCCAAAACUGGCGAGCUAGAGUAGGGCAGAGGGUGGUGGAAUUUCCUGUGUAGCGGUGAAAUGCGUAGAUAUAGGAAGGAACAACAGUGGCGAAGGCGACCACAUGGGCUCAUACUGACGCUGAGGUGCGAAAGCGUGGGGAGCAAACAGG
rnacentral:rRNA from 1 species